GGAGGGUGAAGCUUUAAGCUGAGCCUACGUUGGAUUAGCUUGUAGGUAGGGUAAAGGCCUACCUAGGCGACGAUCCAUAGCUGUUCUGAGAGGAAGAUCAGCCACACUGGGACUGAGACACGGCCCAGACUCCUACGGGAGGCAGCAGUGGGGAAUAUUGGACAAUGGGGGAAACCCUGAUCCAGCGACGCCGCGUGUGUGAAGAAGGCCUACGGGUUGUAAAGCACUUUCAGUGAGGAGGAAGAGUAUAGACUGAAUAGGUUUAUGCUUUGACGUUACUCAAAGAAGAAGCACCGGCUAACUCUGUGCCAGCAGCCGCGGUAAUACAGAGGGUGCUAGCGUUAAUCGGACUGACUGGGCGUAAAGGGCACGUAGGCGGUUUGACAAGUUAGUUGUGAAAAUCUUGGGCUUAACCUGAGACGUGCAACUAAUACUGUUAGACUAGAGUUCAGUAGAGGGGAGCGGAAUUUUCCGGAGUAGCGGUGAAAUGCGUAGAUACCGGAAGGAACAUCAGUUGCGAAGGCGGCUCUCUGGACUGAAACUGACGCUGAGGUGCGAAAGCGUGGGGAGCGAACAGGAUUAGAUACCCUGGCAGUCCACGCUGUAAACGAUGAGUACUAGCUGUUGGAACGCGACGACGUUUUAGUAGCGCAGCUAACGCGAUAAGUACUCCGCCUGGGGAUUACGACCGCAAGGUUAAAACUCAAAGGAAUUGACGGGGGCCCGCACAAGCGGCGGAAUAUGUGGUUUAAUUCGAUCAACGCGCAGAACCUUACCUGCCCUUGACAGCUUCUUUAAUCUCUUGUAAUGAGAGCUGACCCGAAAGGGAAGAGAAGUACAGGUGCUGCAUGGCUGUCGUCAGCUCGUGUUGUGAAAUGUUGGGUUAAGUCCCGUAACGAGCGCAACCCUUAUCGUUAGUUGCCAGCACUUUUAGGUGGGGACUCUAACGAGACUGCCGGUGUUAAGCCGGAGGAAGGUGGGGACGACGUCAAGUCAUCAUGGCCUUUAUGGGUAGGGCUACACACGUAUUACAAUGGGUGUUACAGAGGGCUGCAAACCUGCGAAGGGGAGCGAAACUCACAAAAGCACUCGUAGUCCGGAUCGGAGUCUGCAACUCGACUCCGUGGAGUUGGAAUCGCUAGUAAUCGCGGAUCAGCACGCCGCGGUGAAUACGUUCCCGGGCCUUGUACACACCGCCCGUCACACCAUGGGAGUGGGUGAUACCAGAAGGUGGUAGAAUAACCUGUAAGGGAGUUCGCCAACCACGGUAUGAUUCAUGACUGGGGU
rnacentral:rRNA from 1 species